AACAAUAAGAAAUAGACCCUAUAUAAUAAUCAGUGGUUGUUUCCUACAGUUUAUUGUAUAGUACUUAAUUGAUCCCAAUUAAAUAAGGAUUCACUUGAUCUUUACAAAAAAAAAAAUGUGUUUCGGAUCUUGGAUAGAGGUGGUGAGCAGAGACAAGUUCACCGGAGGCAUCUACGUCCGCGUCCGGUCUUCUUCUUCGCCUUAAUUCGUCCUUGAAUAAUGGAUGGACCGGGUUGGAAAAGGCGAGGAGCUAAACUACCACGAAGGGUCGAAGGGGCCAACAUCCCAGGUAGGAAACCCUUCGUAAACAAGCAGGGCGGCUCGUUACCGUGUUCUAUACGACUGGACAAUUUUAAAGCAUCAAUGGGGGGAAUGUUGUAAUAUCGAAAUUUAAUAGAGAAUUAAAACAAUGAAGGUUAAAUUUAAGUUAAUCAAGACCAGUGUUGUGGUUUUAAAAUAAAAAUAAAGAAAAAAAAUUGAAAUGAGGUUAAGUUUUAAAUAUUUUAUUGACAUUUAAAUCAACAAUUUAUAACUGUAUCUAACUUCAUUCUUUAUUGAAUAUUAAGUUUUCUUUUUAAAAAUAUAUGAAUUAAAUUAAAUAACGAUA